rnacentral:lncRNA from 1 species
CUUGUUCUUUGACCUACUCCUUCUUUAAGUCAUUUAGACUUUGAUUUUUAUUCUGUUUCCCCAGUCCCUUAUUAAAUGUAAUUUUUAUUAUAUUAUGAUCUGAAAAGGAUGCAUUUAAUAUUUCUGUUAAAGUUUUUGUAUGCCUACAUAUGGUCAAUUUUGUAACGGUAUCAUGUACCACUGAGAAAAAGGUAUAUACAUUUCUAUUCCUAUUCAGUCCUCUCCAGAUAUUUGUCAGAACUACCUUAUCUAGUUAAUAUCUGUCUGUUUGUUGUCUCUCUUCCAUUCUUAUUUCUAGAUGCUCUUGGAAUGACUUUUUGGUUUAAUGGAGGCUCACCAAACUUUCAAAUUCUUCAAGGGUAGAGCCUGGCAGAUGACUCAGUGGAUUGAGGACCUGGAGAUGGGAAGUCCUGCAUUCAAAUUUGACCUCAGACACUUUCUAGCUGUGUGACCCUGGGAAAGCCACUUAACUCCCAUUGCCCAGCCCUUACCAUUUUUCUGCCUUGGAACUGAUGCUUAGUACCAAUUCUAAAACAGAAGGUAAGAGUUUAAAAAAAUAUAUUUUUUUCAAAGCUUAGAUCACAUAUCAAUUCCUACUAAAGACUUUCCUUAUCUACUUAGCUGUGCGUGUUCUUUCUUUCUCCUCAUAUUUUUGUAUAUUGCUUAUCUGAGUACAUGGUGCAUCCCUCGGUAGAAGUGAAUUUCUUAAGGUCAUAAUUGUUUUGUUCUAUGUUUUGUCUUCAUGUCAUUGACAGAAGAGUGCCUUAUACAGAGUACAUAUUUUUUAAAAUAUUGUCAAAUUAAACUUUAGUAUGUAGCAUUAAUCAUUGAAAAAACUGGAAAGGGAGAUAACCAGAUCAGAAAGGAUUUAAAUCCUGGGCUAAAGUUUGAACUCCAUCUAGCUCAAUGGUGUCAAACUCAAAUAGAAAUGAGGACUACUAAUUCAUACCCAAGGAUCCAUAUGGGUUUCAAAUAGAUUAAAUUCUAAAAUGUUAUGUUUGUGGUUGUUCAGGUAUUUGUUUAAGUCAUGUCGAAUUCUUCAUGACCUCAUUUAGGGUUUUCUUGGUAAAGAUACUCAAGUGAUUUAACUUUCCUUUUCCAGCUCAUUUUACAGAUGAGGAAACUGAGGCAAGUAGGGUUAAGUGACUUAUCCAAGGUCACACAGUUAGUCAUAUUGGAGAUCAGAUUUUAACUCGGGGAGAUGAGUCUUCCCAACUUCAGGCCUAGUACUCUAUCCAUUGUAGCACUUAGCCAUCCUAAAAUGUAAUAUUAUCUAAGUUUAUUUUGUUAAACAUUUCUCGAUUACAUUUUAAUCUAGUGCCAAGUGUUGGCGUAGGGACCAACAGACAUGCUACCUCUGACACCAUUUUAAUAACAACACUAUUAUCUAAAUUCUAGAUAAUAGAUAGCUAUAACAUUGUCUCUACAUUCAGUUGUCUACAUUUUUAAUG